UACGUAGGGGGCGAGCGUUGUCCGGAUUUAUUGGGCGUAAAGAGCUCGUAGGCGGUUUGGUAAGUUGGAUGUGAAAUCUCCAGGCUCAACUUGGAGGGGUCAUUCGAUACUGCCAUGACUAGAGUUCGGUAGGGGAGUGUGGAAUUCCUGGUGGAGCGGUGAAAUGCGCAGAUAUCAGGAGGAACACCGGUGGCGAAGGCGGGUCUCUGGGCCGAUACUGACGCUGAGGAGCGAAAGCGUGGGGAGCGAACAGG
rnacentral:rRNA from 1 species